rnacentral:rRNA from 1 species
CCUACGGGGGGCUGCAGUGGGGAAUAUUGGACAAUGGGGGGAACCCUGAUCCAGCCAUGCCGCGUGUGUGAAGAAGGCCCUCGGGUUGUAAAGCACUUUCAGUGAGGAAGAACGCCUGGUGGUUAAUACCCAUCAGGAAAGACAUCACUCACAGAAGAAGCACCGGCUAACUCCGUGCCAGCAGCCGCGGUAAUACGGAGGGGUGCGAGCGUUAAUCGGAAUUACUGGGCGUAAAGCGCGCGUAGGUGGCUUGAUAAGCCGGUUGUGAAAGCCCCGGGCUCAACCUGGGAACGGCAUCCGGAACUGUCAAGCUAGAGUGCAGGAGAGGAAGGUAGAAUUCCCGGUGUAGCGGUGAAAUGCGUAGAGAUCGGGAGGAAUACCAGUGGCGAAGGCGGCCUUCUGGACUGACACUGACACUGAGGUGCGAAAGCGUGGGUAGCAAACAGGAUUAGAUACCCUUGUAGUC